GCGUUCUCGUGGGCGAUGGCCAGGCCCAGGCCGCUGCCGCCGGUCCGGGGGCGUGCCGCGUCGGCCUUGUAGAAGCGUUCGAAGACGUACGGGAGCACG
rnacentral:tRNA from 1 species